rnacentral:rRNA from 1 species
AACGAACGCUGGCGGCAUGCCUAACACAUGCAAGUCGAACGAGCCCUUCGGGGUUAGUGGCGCACGGGUGCGUAACGCGUGGGAAUCUGCCCUUCGGUUGGGAAUAACACAGAGAAAUUUGUGCUAAUACCUUAUAAUGUCUUCGGACCAAAGAUUUAUCGCCGAGGGAUGAGCCCGCGUAAGAUUAGGUAGUUGGUGGGGUAAAGGCUCACCAAGGCUACGAUCCUUAGCUGGUCUGAGAGGAUGAUCAGCCACACUGGGACUGAGACACGGCCCAGACUCCUACGGGAGGCAGCAGUAGGGAAUAUUGGACAAUGGGGGCAACCCUGAUCCAGCAAUGCCGCGUGAGUGAUGAAGGCCUUAGGGUUGUAAAGCUCUUUUACCCGAGAUGAUAAUGACAGUAUCGGGAGAAUAAGCUCCGGCUAACUCCGUGCCAGCAGCCGCGGUAAUACGGAGGGAGCUAGCGUUGUUCGGAAUUACUGGGCGUAAAGCGCACGUAGGCGGCGAUUUAAGUCAGAGGUGAAAGCNCCGGGGCUCAACCCCGGAACUGCCUUUGAGACUGGAUUGCUAGAAUCUUGGAGAGGCGGGUGGAAU